CUUAUAUAGUGCUUCUCAAGACAGAGACGCUUUGCACUAAUCAGAUAACCUAAUAACAACCCAGGUAGCGGGUGCUGGUGUCAGCGACGUUAUCCACUGCAGUGGAACGCAGACAGGUGGUGAGAUCCGAACUGGACAUCUGCUGGAGCUCGCUGUUAAUCAGUCACAACCAAAGUCGGGUGUUCAAGAGCUUGCUGAGAGAGUGAUAGGGAGAGAGCUGGAGCCUAUCCCAGCUAACUUCUGGCGAAGGCAGACUACACUAUGAACUGGUCGCCAGCCAGUCGCAGGGCAGAUAUCGACACCACCACUGAGCGGGAAUUGAUCCCACGCUGCCUGCAUCAAAUGCAGUUUGUUUUUGCAGAUGAUAAUGAUUCACAGACGCAAAGACCCAUAGCCCUCCACCAAGACCUCACCGGAAGGAGGUGUCUCAUUG